UGCAUCGGCCGGGAAUCGAACUCGGGCCGGCCGCGUGGCAGGCGAGCAUUCUACCACUGAACCACCGAUGG
rnacentral:tRNA from 1 species